rnacentral:rRNA from 1 species
UACGUAGGGUCCGAGCGUUGUCCGGAAUUACUGGGCGUAAAGAGCUCGUAGGUGGUUUGUCGCGUUGUUCGUGAAAACUCACAGCUUAACUGUGGGCGUGCGGGCGAUACGGGCAGACUUGAGUACUGCAGGGGAGACUGGAAUUCCUGGUGUAGCGGUGGAAUGCGCAGAUAUCAGGAGGAACACCGGUGGCGAAGGCGGGUCUCUGGGCAGUAACUGACGCUCAGGCACGAAAGCGUGGGGAGCAAACAGG